UACGGGGGGGGGCUAGCGUUGUUCGGAAUUACUGGGCGUAAAGGGCGCGUAGGCGGCCUACUAAGUCGGACGUGAAAUCCCUCGGCUCAACCGGGGAACUGCGUGUGAUACUGGAUGGCUUGGAUUUGGGAGAGGGAUGCGGAAUUCCAGGUGUAGCGGUGAAAUGCGUAGAUAUCUGGAGGAACACCGGUGGCGAAGGCGGCAUCCUGGACCGGCAUUGACGCUGAGGCGCGAAAGCGUGGGGAGCAAACAGG
rnacentral:rRNA from 1 species